CCGGCUAACUACGUGCCAGCAGCCGCGGUAAUACGUAGGGUGCGAGCGUUAAUCGGAAUUACUGGGCGUAAAGCGUGCGCAGGCGGUUCUCCAAGUCCGUUGUGAAAGCCCCGGGCUCAACCUGGGAAUGGCAGUGGAAACUAGGGGACUGGAAUCUGGCAGAGGGGGGUGGAAUGCCGCGUGUAGCAGUGAAAUGCGUAGAGAUGCGGCGGAACACCGAUGGCGAAGGCAGCCCCCUGGGCUGAGAUUGACGCUCAGGCACGAAAGCGUGGGGAGCAAACAGGAUUAGAUACCCUGGUAGUCCACGCCCUAAACGAUGGCAACUAGGUGUUGGGGAAGCGAUUUCCUGGUACCGCAGCUAACGCGUGAAGUUGCCCGCCUGGGGAGUACGGUCGCAAGAUUAAAACUCAAAGGAAUUGACGGGGACCCGCACAAGCGGUGGAUGAUGUGGAUUAAUUCGAUGCAACGCGAAUAACCUUACCUACCCUUGACAUGUACGGAACCCUGCAGAGAUGUGGGGGUGCUUGAAAGAGAGCCGUAACACAGGUGCU
rnacentral:rRNA from 1 species